CAACACACGUAUAUUGAUUACGAAAAGAUAUAGACGGUCACCGGCCAUUCCAGCGGCUCUGGCCAUACUGCCAAAACCGUUCUGGCAUUUCCCCCAAUGCCUGACGGCGGCAGAGGGUACUGGAGUGCGUACCCUUGCUUGUUUUUACUCCUAAUGGUCCUUAACCCGGAUUCAUCCCCCAGAAUCCGG
rnacentral:sRNA from 1 species